GACGAACGCUGGCGGCGUGCCUAAUACAUGCAAGUUGAGCGAUGAAGAUUGGUGCUUGCACCAAUUUGAAGAGCAGCGAACGGGUGAGUAACGCGUGGGGAAUCUGCCUUUGAGCGGGGGACAACAUUUGGAAACGAAUGCUAAUACCGCAUAACAACUUUAAACAUAAGUUUUAAGUUUGAAAGAUGCAAUUGCAUCACUCAAAGAUGAUCCCGCGUUGUAUUAGCUAGUUGGUGAGGUAAAGGCUCACCAAGGCGAUGAUACAUAGCCGACCUGAGAGGGUGAUCGGCCACAUUGGGACUGAGACACGGCCCAAACUCCUACGGGAGGCAGCAGUAGGGAAUCAUCGGCAAUGGACGAAAGUCUGACCGAGCAACGCCGCGUGAGUGAAGAAGGUUUUCGGAUCGUAAAACUCUGUUGGUAGAGAAGAACGUUGGUGAGAGUGGAAAGCUCAUCAAGUGACGGUAACUACCCAGAAAGGGACGGCUAACUACGUG
rnacentral:rRNA from 1 species